AACCUCCGCAAUGUGAGAAAUCGCGACGGGGGGAUCCCAAGUGCCAUUCUUAACGGGAUGGCUUUUCUUAAGUGUAAAAAGCUUUUGGAAUAAGAGCUGGGCAAGACCGGUGCCAGCCGCCGCGGUAACACCGGCAGCUCUAGUGGUAGCUGUUUUUAUUGGGCCUAAAGCGUUCGUAGCCGGUUUGAUAAGUCACUGGUGAAAUCCUGUAGCUUAACUGUGGGAAUUGCUGGUGAUACUGUUGAACUUGAGGUCGGGAGAGGUUAGCGGUACUCCCAGGGUAGAGGUGAAAUUCUGUAAUCCUGGGAGGACCACCUGUGGCGAAGGCGGCUAACUGGAACGAACCUGACGGUGAGGGACGAAAGCUAGGGGCGCGAACCGGAUUAGAUACCCGGGUAGUCCUAGCCGUAAACGAUGCGGACUUGGUGUUGGGAUGGCUUUGAGCCGCUCCGGUGCCGAAGGGAAGCUGUUAAGUCCGCCGCCUGGGAGUACGGUCGCAAGACUGAACUUAAAGGAAUU
rnacentral:rRNA from 1 species